UACGUAGGUGGCAAGCGUUGUCCGGAUUUAUUGGGCUUAAAGGGUGCGUAGGCGGCCCCAUAAGUCAGUGCUGAAAUACUCUAGCUCAACUAGAGGGGUGGCAUUGAUACUGCGGGGCUUGAGUGGAGUCGAGGUAGGCGGAAUUGACGGUGUAGCGGUGAAAUGCUUAGAUAUCGUCAAGAACACCGAUAGCGUAGACAGCUUACUAGGCUUCAACUGACGCUGAGGCACGAAAGUGUGGGGAUCAAACAGG
rnacentral:rRNA from 1 species